UACGUAGGGGGCAAGCGUUGUCCGGAAUCAUUGGGCGUAAAGCGCGUGUAGGCGGCUGGCUAAGUCCGCUCUGAAAGCCCGGGGCUCAACCCCGGGAGGCGGGUGGAUACUGGUCAGCUCGAGUCCGGAAGAGGAGUGUGGAAUUCCUGGUGUAGCGGUGAAAUGCGCAGAUAUCAGGAGGAACACCAAUGGCGAAGGCAGCACUCUGGGACGGUACUGACGCUGAGGCGCGAAAAGCGUGGGGGAGCGAACAGG
rnacentral:rRNA from 1 species